rnacentral:rRNA from 1 species
GACGAACGCUGGCGGCGUGCCUAAUACAUGCAAGUCGAACGCUGAAGGAGGAGCUUGCUUCUCUGGAUGAGUUGCGAACGGGUGAGUAACGCGUAGGUAACCUGCCUGGUAGCGGGGGAUAACUAUUGGAAACGAUAGCUAAUACCGCAUAAUAGUAGAUGUUGCAUGACAUUUACUUAAAAGGUGCAAUUGCAUCACUACCAGAUGGACCUGCGUUGUAUUAGCUAGUUGGUGGGGUAACGGCUCACCAAGGCGACGAUACAUAGCCGACCUGAGAGGGGGAUCGGCCACACUGGGACUGAGACACGGCCCAGACUCCUACGGGAGGCAGCAGUAGGGAAACUUCGGCAAUGGACGAAAGUCUGACCGAGCAACGCCGCGUGAGUGAAGAAGGUUUUCGGAUCGUAAAGCUCUGUUGUAAGAGAAGAACGAGUGUGAGAGUGGAAAGUUCACACUGUGACGGUAUCUUACCAGAAAGGGACGGCUAACUACGUG